rnacentral:misc_RNA from 1 species
AAACUACACUUUCUAUUCCUUUGCCUUUGGGGAAGCAGCUUGGUGGUCAUGCUACAGUGGAUUCUGCUGGAGAGACGCAAGUGAAGAGUUCGAAGAUUCGUGGAGAUGGGAGAGGAAAAAAUCAAUUACUGCCUCGUUACUGGCCUCGCAUAACGGAUCAAGAGCUACGCCGUUUAUCUGAAGAUUCAAAUUCUGUGAUUACUCCUUUGUUUGAAAAGAUGCUAAGUGCAAGUGAUGCUGGCAGGAUAGGACGGCUAGUAUUGCCAAAGAAAUGUGCUGAGGCCUAUUUUCCACCAAUUUCUAAUCCAGAAGGGUUGCCUCUCAAGAUGCAAGAUCUGAAAGGGAAGGAAUGGAUGUUCCAGUUUAGGUUUUG